CUGGCGGCCGAGUCUGAUGGCUUCUCACUUCACAGCAGGUUUCCCCAGUCACCUGGGGCUCAGAAACGCUCGGCAUGUUUCUGGCUAUGCCUGCUUCCUCGUCUCCACAGGAAGAGGCCGCAGGUCAGGAGAAGGGAAGCCCACGUGUGCGCAGCCCACCGUGAGCCAGGCCUGCUGCUGGCGCCCUGACCCACGAUGCCCGUGGAUCCACACCAGGAACCAGGUUCCAGAAAGGCUUCUUGUGCAGACCCCCAACACCCUGGAUGCUGCAUUUGCCCCUCCCCCAGGUGAGUGAGGACCUCCACAGAGCCAAGGGGGAACUGGUCUGAAUCCAGAUCAGGCCGGGGCACUGGAGUGCGGAAGGCAGGCGGAUUGUCCCGCUGCCUGGUGAGGGCUGAGGCUCCUCCCAGCCCAGAGCAUGCGCUUGGCCUACGUGGACCUCCAUGCCAGGGGAGGGACCCCCCUCAUCAUUCCUUUAGCUUCUCCUUAGAGGGAUGAUGGAGGAGGAGGGGGGGAGGUAGAGGAGGGGGAGAAGGAGGAGGGGGAGGAGAGGGAGGAGGUCGGGGGGAGGAGGGGGAGGAGAGGAAGGAGGUGGUGGGGAGGAGAGGGAGGUGAGGUGGGGGGAAGGGGAAUGGGCGGAGGGGGCAGAGGAGGAGAAGAGAGCAAGGGGGAAGUUCUUGUUUGAAUUUUCCACCUUUAAGCAUCUUGGUCUUGUGUCCUGGGGGUACAGCUUGUAAAUGAGAACUUUCUCCACUAGAAAAAUACUACAAAACAACUAUUAAAUUAAGGAGCAGGUGCCACUCAGCCCUCAAUGUGUGACUAGAAAAAUAGAGCAGCUUUCUGUGUUGCGAAACGGGCACAUCUUUGGAGCCUGCUCUGGGCUCUGAGUGUGCAGGUUCGCUCUGGAGGGAAACAGUGAUGGAAAAGGUGGGGCUCCUGGCGCCUCACCCUCCUUCAUGGCAUCUAAAUCCUGGCACUGGGAUGGGAUUUAUUCACGAAAUACACAUUAAACAAAACAGUGACCUGAGAACACCGUGCAGAGGAACAUGGGUUUGCUGCGACAUUUUCUACCUAUUCACUUUUUUCAUACAAAGCACCCCGGAACAAAGAUUAGUUCCAUGGUGACUAGAACCCAAAUAAACCUGUGGUUUUUUCCCUCCUUCCGUUAAGG
rnacentral:lncRNA from 1 species